GACGAACGCUGGCGGCGUGCCUAAUACAUGCAAGUAGAACGCUGAAGCUUGGUGCUUGCACCGAGCGGAUGAGUUGCGAACGGGUGAGUAACGCGUAGGUAACCUGCCUGGUAGCGGGGGAUAACUAUUGGAAACGAUAGCUAAUACCGCAUAAGAGUAGAUGUUGCAUGACAUUUGCUUAAAAGGUGCAAUUGCAUCACUACCAGAUGGACCUGCGUUGUAUUAGCUAGUUGGUGAGGUAACGGCUCACCAAGGCAACGAUACAUAGCCGACCUGAGAGGGUGAUCGGCCGCACUGAGACUGAGACACGGCCCAGACUCCUACGGGAGGCAGCAGUAGAGAAUCUUCGGCAAUGGACGGAAGUCUGACCGAGCAACGCCGCGUGAGUGAAGAAGGUUUUCGGAUCGUAAAGCUCUGUUGUAAGAGAAGAACGAGUGUGAGAGUGGAAAGUUCACACUGUGACGGUAUCUUACCAGAAAGGGACGGCUAACUGCGUG
rnacentral:rRNA from 1 species